GUAGUCACCCGGGUUGCCGCAAGGCCUCUCGGGUAACCUACCACCCUUUGUUUAUUACACUUUGUUGCUUUGGCAAGCCUGCCCUCGGGCUGCUGGCUCCGGCCGGCGAGCGCUUGCCAGAGGACCUAAACUCUGUUUGUCUAUAAUGUCUGAGUACGAUAUAAUCGUUUACAACUUUUAACAAUGGAUCUCUUGGCUCU
rnacentral:misc_RNA from 1 species